CCGGGUGUAGCGCAGUUUGGUAGCGUGCUUGACUGGGGGUCAAGAGGCCGUGGGUUCAAGUCCCGCCACUCGGACCA
rnacentral:tRNA from 1 species